AUUUUCCUUAAAGUAGCCAACCAUGCGCUUUCUGGAUGUACUGACCUUGCAGAAUUCUGAUGACAUGAGGUGCAUAGUUUCUGUUGUGAAGAUUCUCUUGCCCAAAGGAGGACAAGUUGGAUGGAAAAACCAAAUGCAGAUUCAACAAUGUGAUUGCUGUUAGAUUUCAGUAAUUUUAAAAAGAUUUAUGAGCCUGCGCCUUUGCACUUCGACGACAGUAGAUUCAUUACAACCAUUAGUUUCCUGUGGCGUCGUUAGACCAGCAUCCACUAUGCUCCAUGACUGAUGGAGCAAAACGUGCUGGAGAAAUUUGAUGACAACCACCCUGGGAAAAUUCCUUCUGUGCCUUGGCAGCUAGAGGAUCACUCAGGUCUAUCUCUGUUGGCUCACUCCACCGUAGCAUCCUUUCACCUUCCCUGUUGAUGCUGGACUAACAUUCCAACUGGAGCUACGACUCUUCCAUGAACCAUUUCUUCUUAAGGAGUCAUGAAGACGAAUAAAGAAAUGCUCUUGAUUAAAUGAGGAAGGAAAUAAUAGCGCCCCUGAAGGACCUGAGCUGGACCUGCUGCACCUCUGCUGUCACACUUCCAGCAAUUGUCACUGUCAAAAUGUAGCACAUUCAUUAUUCAGCGUCAGCCGAGAGGCUGAAGAUUGAAUGGGCUAUAGCGAGUGAAUUAUCCUCUCAUCCUGAGAAGUGGGCCUCCCAGGGCAGAGAUGAAGCAUCCGGCGCGGUGCCUGGCGGGAAGGCGACUGUUGCCCAGGCUCCUGGUGCUGUGUGUGACCAGAGGGCAUCAGUGAGGAGUGUAGCUUGCCAUUUGCUAGAAUGAAUCUGCUUGUGCCCAGCCUCACGGGAACAAAAGGUCACGGAAGCAAAAAGACCUGGGGCUGAGAGAGAAUGUGGGGUACCUAAGGACACUGUCUUCUAGCACCUUUCUGUGACUGGCACAGGCUGGCAGACCAAGCUGCUUCCACUGACCCGCAGAAAAGGCCGGCCUUACCCCGAAUGAACCUCCAGCACGCCAGCCCUCUCUUCGGAAACGAAAAAAGCCAAGGGCUCGCCUGACGACCUACCGUAAA
rnacentral:lncRNA from 1 species